AAAGAUUAAGCCAUGCAUGUCUAAGUAUAAGCGAUUAUACGGCGAAACUGCGAAUGGCUCAUUACACAAGUUAUCGUUUAUUUGAUAGCACCUUACAACUUGGAUAACCGUGGUAAUUCUAGAGCUAAUACAUGCUGAAAAUCCCAACUCCGGAAGGGAUGUAUUUAUUAGAUUCAAAACCAAUGCCCUCCGGGCUCACUGGUGAUUCAUGAUAACUUCGCGGAUCGCACGGCCUUGUGCGGGCGAUGGUUCAUUCAAAUUUCUUCCCUAUCAACUUUCGAUGUUUGGGUAGUGGCCAAACAUGGUUGCAACGGGUAACGGAGGGUUAGGGCUCGACCCCGGAGAAGGAGCCUGAGAAACGGCUACUACAUCCAAGGAAGGCAGCAGGCGCGCAAAUUACCCAAUCCCGACUCGGGGAGGUAGUGACAAUAAAUACUGAUACAGGGCCCUUACGGGUCUUGUAAUUGGAAUGAGUACAACUUAAAUCCCUUAACGAGGAACAAUUGGAGGGCAAGUCUGGUGCCAGCAGCCGCGGUAAUUCCAGCUCCAAUAGCGUAUAUUAAAGUUGUUGUGGUUAAAAAGCUCGUACUUGAACCUCGGGCCUGGCUGGCCGGUCCGCCUCAUCGCGUGUACUGGCCCGGCCCGGGCCCCUCCCUCUGUGGAGCCCCAUGCCCUUCACUGGGCGUGGCGGGGAAGCAGG
rnacentral:rRNA from 1 species